GUGGGGAAUAUUGGACAAUGGGCGAAAGCCUGAUCCAGCCAUGCCGCGUGUGUGAAGAAGGUCUUCGGAUUGUAAAGCACUUUAAGUUGGGAGGAAGGGCAGUAAGUUAAUACCUUGCUGUUUUGACGUUACCGACAGAAUAAGCACCGGCUAACUUCGUGCCAGCAGCCGCGGUAAUACGAAGGGUGCAAGCGUUAAUCGGAAUUACUGGGCGUAAAGCGCGCGCAGGUGGUUUUGUAAGUUGGAGGUGAAAUCCCCGGGCUCAACCUGGGAACUGCCUCCAAAACUGCAUGACUAGAGUACGGUAGAGGGUAGUGGAAUUUCCUGUGUAGCGGUGAAAUGCGUAGAUAUAGGAAGGAACACCAGUGGCGAAGGCGACUACCUGGACUGAUACUGACACUGAGGUGCGAAAGCGUGGGGAGCAAACAGGAUUAGAAACCCUAGUAGUCC
rnacentral:rRNA from 1 species